AUGAUCCAGAAUGAAGGGUCAGUAGAGGAGCAUAGGCCAAAGUGAAGAAAGGGAGGGGCUCGGCUCUGUCACCGCACAUGGUAGAUCGCAGAGAAGAAGCGAAAUCGCUCUCCAUCCUGUCUGCACACACGGAACAAUGGAGUCCAGUAGUUGACCAAAAAUCCAGUUUGGUCUGCGCGCGCAAGGUCAGGGAAGGUGGACUGCAGAUAAGGGGAAACAUCCCUAGACGGAGGACAGCUAGUGGGCGCCUGCAGCUUACAGAGAACAGCAAGAAGCAAAUCUAGCUGAUCUGCUACAAACUGUAAAGAAAAGACGACUCACCAUAUGAUGCUUCUGAAGUUGGUGAAUGAAAAGAGGGUCAAGGUUGAUCAUGCGGUUAUUGAGACAACAGGUAAAUCUCAUUGGUACCGAAACAGAGGACGCCGAGGAGGACCGAUAUCGGUAGCGGCUGGCCGGCUGGGUCGAGAUCAGAAGCGGACGCUCAACCCGGCUAGCUCUGGUAACAUGUUUCGUUUUCGGUGGGGACUGGCCGGUAACAGUUUUGAGCUGCGCUGGGACUCGAUUACACGAUACUUGUUUUUGGAGGAACUAAAUCAAACACGAUUAACGGAAAGAGGUAACAAUGUAAUCGGUGAAAAUAUGCGAACCAAAUUCUUCCUUGGAGGAUAGAAAAAUGAGGAUGGGUUUUUACUACGUAGUAUGCAUUGCAAGAAAUUUUAUACGUAUUUUUGUAUACGUUACUUUGUAACUUAUUCUUAUAAAAGAAUUGUUGUCAAUGUAUAAAAAAAGUAGUAUGCUUCACAUUCA